GAAAUUUUUCAAAAUAUGGGUGAUUUAUUCUGUUUUAUAACUUCUCAUCCAGUUUCAUCAUGGGCUCAGGAGGAUUGACUAUUAGUUGACCAAAAUAAGCAUAGUUAUUAUAUGGCAUGUUGGGAGUUUCAUCAUAAGUAUAAAUUUUUAUGCUAUUGGACUUUAAUUAUUUCAGGCUGGGUUUCUGAUGUCUUCAUACCUCCAGAUAAUUGGAUUCUUAAACUUAACAGCAAGAAAUGGAAAAUCCAUGUUGUUUUAAGGAAAGCAGAGCAACAAGAAAAUCAUGUACAAGAGCCUAUGAAACAAAACAGAAAAGUAAAAUUGUGACAGGCAUAUGUGCAAGGGAGGCAACUUAAAUUGGGUUUUUUGACCAGCUGGCCCAGUAUGUAACUAAAAAAGAUUGAGAAGUUACAUAUAUAAUCAGUGGAAGGGAGACAACUCAUAUUUUGAUCCCUUGACCAACUAUCCAGACAGAUUUUAUUAUGAAAUGUGAAGAAAGUACAGUUUCAGAUGGCAUUUUUCAGACAGAAAUUUGUGUUGGAAUGAUGGCGAUCUCUUCUAUCAGUAAGAGAAUGAGGUA